UACGGAGGGGACUAGCGUUGUUCGGAAUUACUGGGCGUAAAGCGCGCGUAGGCGGGCUGGUCAGUUGGGGGUGAAAUCCCGAGGCUUAACCUCGGAACUGCCUUCAAUACUGCCAGUCUUGAGUUCGAGAGAGGUGAGUGGAAUUCCGAGUGUAGAGGUGAAAUUCGUAGAUAUUCGGAGGAACACCAGUGGCGAAGGCGGCUCACUGGCUCGAUACUGACGCUGAGGUGCGAAAGUGUGGGGAGCAAACAGGAUUAGAUACCCGCGUAGUCC
rnacentral:rRNA from 1 species